CCCGCCUCCCGUAUCCAGGGAGGCUGCACGCCUGCCGUCGUCAUUCAGGGUGUGACGAAGGGUUGUCGCAGGAAGCCGGGAGGUUGGAGGGAAGAAGCGCCCCCGCCCCAACCCCGCCCCUUUCAGGGUUGAAGUUGGGGUCCGGCGUGGUGAAGAGUAAAAACAGUCUCCAGCAUUCAAUAAGGAUUUUGAGUCUUGAGUCUCUCUAUCCCUUCCUUUUCCUCCUCCUACUGAGAUGGUCCGCAGAGAUAAAUACAUUGACAUUUUUAGGGCUAAGGAUGAUAACUGCCUCCUAGAAAUCACUCAAAGGAAAAUUGCCAUCACUUCCCAAAGUUUUAGGGCUGCAGCUUUCAAAAAAAUAUUUCUCAUAUUGAAUUAAACUUUUAUGUCAAGGAAGAAUAAAGUCUCUGAAUUUUAAUUCUUUGCUAAGAUGCAACAGAAAUAAAAUUACUUUUGCACUAUAUAGUACAUUGGUUUGCAUUCCAAAGUAAUGGAGUUAGGAAUUUCCUCUUUGGAUCUUGUUUAAAUCCCUGUUGUUGGUUUUUUGUUUUUUUUGGUACAUUUGUUGAAUUUUUAAGACUUGUCUCAAAACAAUAUUGUUAAAGGAUAUAGGAAUUAAGGGAAGAGAGAUUCUGAAAUUUUGGAAGAGCUGAGAAAACAAAUGAGAACCAUGUAUAAGAAACUGCUCUUAUGCAAUUAACUUAAGCCCCCCAAUUUGGAGGAUAUUAUUAAAAUGUGGAAAAAUUCCCUUUGACAUUUUUAGAUGAAGAGCUAAUUUGAAGUAGAAAAGUUAUCCACUCCAAUUAUGUACGUCAGUGCCCAGAGAUUUCUCAAUCAUUACAAAAUAAUGUUUUUCCCCUUAAAUUGCUUUUGUUUCAAAGCAUUUCUAUCAUGUUUUAGUGUGCAUUCAUUUUUCCAUUUCUGUGGAAAUCUACAAUCUUUAGAAAAACCACAAAUAUUUUCACUGUAUUGAAUCUGAUUAAGUCACAUUACUGAAGUCUGACUUGAACCUUGGAAUGAUUCAUUCAAGAAUGCCUCCCAUUCUGUGUAAGACUGCAAACCUCAAGAUACCAAUAAUCAAAGAAAAUAAUAGGGGUGAGAGGAAAAAGGAGAAUGGUUGUUGGAUUGAGGUUGGAAGGGGCAGGGUGACACUUUCCAUAUGAAAAACGGACCUGGUUGCCACAUGAUGAAUGAUGAUAAUUCCCAGGAAGCUUACCUCUUACCACAAUUCUCUUUUAGGAUCUAUGGCUUGGGUUAUUUCAUAUUUAGAUGAGUCAGUGACCUUGUCAAUAUGGGUAACCCCAGCAAUAAUACAGAUUGUCACCUAUCCUUACCCGUCCUUCCUAUAGUU